rnacentral:rRNA from 1 species
UACGUAGGGGGCAAGCGUUGUCCGGAAUCAUUGGGCGUAAAGCGCGCGUAGGCGGCCCGAUAAGUCCGCUGUAAAAGUCCAGGGCUCAACCCUGGAAUGCCGGUGGAUACUGUCGGGCUAGAGUCCGGAAGAGGCGAGUGGAAUUCCUGGUGUAGCGGUGGAAUGCGCAGAUAUCAGGAGGAACACCAAUAGCGAAGGCAGCUCGCUGGGACGUUACUGACACUGAGGCGCGAAAGCGUGGGGAGCGAACAGG